rnacentral:rRNA from 1 species
GACGAACGCUGGCGGCGUGCUUAACACAUGCAAGUCGAACGGAAGGGCCCUGCUUUUGUGGGGUGCUCGAGUGGCGAACGGGUGAGUAACACGUGAGUAACCUGCCCUUGACUUUGGGAUAACUUCAGGAAACUGGGGCUAAUACCGGAUAGGAGCUCCUGCUGCAUGGUGGGGGUUGGAAAGUUUCGGCGGUUGGGGAUGGACUCGCGGCUUAUCAGCUUGUUGGUGGGGUAGUGGCUUACCAAGGCUUUGACGGGUAGCCGGCCUGAGAGGGUGAACGGCCACAUGGGGACUGAGAUACGGACCAGAGUCCUACGGGAGGCAGCAGGGGGGAAUAUUGCACAAUGGGCGGGAGCCUGAUGCAGAAACGCCGCGUGCGGGAUGACGGCCUUCGGGUUGUAAACCGCUUUAGCCUGUGACGAAGCGUGAGUGACGGUAAUGGGUAAAGAAGCACCGGCUAACUACGUG